rnacentral:rRNA from 1 species
AUUGAACGCUGGCGGCAGGCCUAACACAUGCAAGUCGAACGAGUGGCGGACGGGUGAGUAAUGUCUGGGAAACUGCCCGAUGGAGGGGGAUAACUACUGGAAACGGUAGAUAAUACCGCAUACCAUCGGAUGUGCCCAGAUGGGAUUCGCUAGUAGGUGGGGUAACGGCUCACCUAGGCGACGAUCCCUAGCUGGUAUGAGAGGAUGACCGGCCAAACGGGAACUGAGACACGGUCCAGACGCCUACGGGAGGCAGCAGUGGGGAAUAUUACCCAAUGGGCGAAAGCCUGAUGAAGCAAUGCCGCGUGUGUGAGGAGGGCCUUCGGGUUGUAAAGUUCUGUCAUCGGGGAGGCGUUACUCGCAGAGAAAGCACCGGCUAACUACGUGCCAGCAGCCGCGGUAAUAC